rnacentral:rRNA from 1 species
GAUGAACGCUGGCGGCGUGCCUAAUACAUGCAAGUCGAGCGAACGGACGAGAAGCUUGCUUCUCUGAUGUUAGCGGCGGACGGGUGAGUAACACGUGGAUAACCUACCUAUAAGACUGGGAUAACUUCGGGAAACCGGAGCUAAUACCGGAUGAUAUUUUGAACCGCAUGGUUCAAAAGUGAAAGACGGUCUUGCUGUCACUUAUAGAUGGAUCCGCGCUGCAUUAGCUAGUUGGUAAGGUAACGGCUUACCAAGGCAACGAUGCAUAGCCGACCUGAGAGGGUGAUCGGUCACACUGGAACUGAGACACGGUCCAGACUCCUACGGGAGGCAGCAGUAGGGAAUCUUCCGCAAUGGGCGAAAGCCUGACGGAGCAACGCCGCGUGAGUGAUGAAGGUCUUCGGAUCGUAAAACUCUGUUAUUAGGGAAGAACAUAUGUGUAAGUAACUGUGCACAUCUUGACGGUACCUAAUCAGAAAGCCACGGCUAACUACGUA